rnacentral:rRNA from 1 species
UACAGAGGUCUCAAGCGUUGUUCGGAUUCAUUGGGCGUAAAGGGUGCGUAGGCGGCGCGGUAAGUCGGGUGUGAAAUCUCGGAGCUUAACUCCGAAACUGCAUUCGAUACUGCCGUACUUGAGGACUGGAGAGGAGACUGGAAUUUACGGUGUAGCGGUGAAAUGCGUAGAUAUCGUAAGGAAGACCAGUGGCGAAGGCGGGU